rnacentral:rRNA from 1 species
AGGUUAAUAUUCCUGGGCCGUGGAGUGGUGACGGAUCUGAGACGUAGUUCAUCCUUAUCGGAUUGAAUGGGCUGCCAACAGGUCCCUGGAAAUAGCCCUCCUUUAAGAUCGUACCCUAAACCGACACAGGUGGACUGGUAGAGAAUACCAAGGCGCUUGAGAGAACCACAUUUAAGGAACUCGGCAAAAUACCUCCGUAAGUUCGCGAGAAGGAGGCCCGGUUUUUACGCAAGUAGAGGCCGGGGGCACAAACCAGGGGGUGGCGACUGUUUACUAAAAACACAGGGCUCUGCGAAGUCGUAAGACGACGUAUAGGGUCUGACGCCUGCCCGGUGCCUGAAGGUUAAAAGGAGGAGUGCAAGCUCCGAAUUGAAGCCCAGGUAAACGGCGGCCGUAACUAUAACGGUCCUAAGGUAGCGAAAUUCCUUGUCGGGUAAGUUCCGACCUGCACGAAUGGCGUAACGACUUCCCCGCUGUCUCAAAUGUGGACUCAGCGAAAUUGAAUUACCGGUCAAGAUGCCGGUUACCCGCGGUUAGACGGAAAGACCCCAUGCACCUUUACUACAGCUUCACACUGGCAUCAGGCCAUGCAUGUGCAGGAUAGGUGGUAGGCUUUGAAGCGGGGACGCCAGUCCUCGUGGAGCCUCCCUUGAGAUACCACCCUUGCAUUGCUUGAUGUCUAACCGCGGUCCGUUAUCCGGAUCCGGGACCCUGUGUGGUGGGUAGUUUGACUGGGGCGGUCGCCUCCUAAAUUGUAACGGAGGCGCGCGAAGGUUGGCUCAGAGCGGUCGGAAAUCGCUCGUUGAGUGCAAUGGCAGAAGCCAGCCUGACUGCGAGACUGACAAGUCGAGCAGAGUCGAAAGACGGCCAUAGUGAUCCGGUGGUCCCGAGUGGAAGGGCCAUCGCUCAACGGAUAAAAGGUACGCUGGGGAUAACAGGCUGAUGGUGCCCAAGAGUCCAUAUCGACGGCACCGUUUGGCACCUCGAUGUCGGCUCAUCUCAUCCUGGGGCUGGAGCAGGUCCCAAGGGUACGGCUGUUCGCCGUUUAAAGAGGUACGUGAGCUGGGUUUAGAACGUCGUGAGACAGUUCGGUCCCUAUCUUCCGUGGGUGUAGGAUAUUUGAGAAGAGUUGCCCCUAGUACGAGAGGACCGGGGUGAACGAUCCACUGGUGGAUCUGUUGUCGUGCCAACGGCAGUGCAGAGUAGCUAUGAUCGGACAGGAUAACCGCUGAAGGCAUCUAAGCGGGAAGCCCCCUUCAAAACAAGAUAUCCCUGAGAGCCGAGGUAGACCACCUCGUCGAUAGGCCAGAGAUGUAAGCGCAGCAAUGUGUUCAGUUGACUGGUACUAAUGGCUCGAUAGGCUUGAUUUG